rnacentral:rRNA from 1 species
UACGUAGGGGGCAAGCGUUGUCCGGAUUUAUUGGGCGUAAAGCGCGUGUAGGCGGCUUGGCAAGUCUGCUGUGAAAACUCGAGGCUCAACCUCGAGCUGUCGGCGGAAACUGCUUGGCUAGAGUCCGGAAGAGGAGAGUGGAAUUCCUGGUGUAGCGGUGAAAUGCGCAGAUAUCAGGAAGAACACCUAUGGCGAAGGCAGCUCUCUGGGACGGUACUGAGGCUGAGACGCGAAAGCGUGGGG